rnacentral:rRNA from 1 species
GACGAACGCUGGCGGCGUGCUUAACACAUGCAAGUCGAACGAUGAAGAAGCAGCUUGCUGUUUUGGAUUAGUGGCGAACGGGUGAGUAACACGUGAGUAACCUGCCCCCUUCUUUGGGAUAACGGUCGGAAACGAUUGCUAAUACCGGGUAUUCACUCAUUCUCGCAUGGGGGUGGGUGGAAAGGUUUUUUCUGGUGGGGGAUGGGCUCGCGGCCUAUCAGCUUGUUGGUGGGGUGAUGGCCUACCAAGGCUUUGACGGGUAACCGGCCUGAGAGGGUGACCGGUCACAUUGGGACUGAGAUACGGCCCAGACUCCUACGGGAGGCAGCAGUGGGGAAUUUUGCACAAUGGGCGCAAGCCUGAUGCAGCGACGCCGCGUGAGGGAUGAAGGCCUUCGGGUUGUAAACCUCUUUCGCUCAUGGUCAAGCCACUUCUUUGGUUGUGGUGAGGGUAGUGGGUAAAGAAGCGCCGGCUAACUACGUGCCAGCAGCCGCGGUAAUACGUAGGGCGCGAGCGUUGUCCGGAAUUAUUGGGCGUAAAGGGCUUGUAGGCGGCUUGUCGCGUCUGCCGUGAAAUCCUCUGGCUUAACUGGAGGCGUGCGGUGGGUACGGGCUGGCUUGAGUGCGGUAGGGGAGACUGGAAUUCCUGGUGUAGCGGUGGAAUGCGCAGAUAUCAGGAGGAACACCGGUGGCGAAGGCGGGUCUCUGGGCCGUUACUGACGCUGAGGAGCGAAAGCGUGGGGAGCGAACAGG